AACGAACGCUGGCGGCAUGCCUAACACAUGCAAGUCGAACGAGACCUUCGGGUCUAGUGGCGCACGGGUGCGUAACGCGUGGGAACCUGCCCUUAGGUUCGGAAUAACUCCCCGAAAUGGGUGCUAAUACCGGAUAAUGUCCUCGGACCAAAGAUUUAUCGCCUUUGGAUGGGCCCGCGUUGGAUUAGAUAGUUGGUAGGGUAAAAGCCUACCAAGGCGAGGAUCCAUAGCUGGUCUGAGAGGAUGAUCAGCCACACUGGGACUGAGACACGGCCCAGACUCUUGCGAGAGGCAGCAGUGGCGAAUAUAGGACAAUGGGCGAAAGGCUGAUCCAGCAAUGCCGGGUGAGUGAUGAAGGCCUUAGGGUUGUAAAGCUCUUUUACCCGGGAUGAUAAUGACAGUACCGGGAGAAUAAGCACCGGCUAACUCCGUG
rnacentral:rRNA from 1 species